rnacentral:lncRNA from 1 species
CCCGCCCCGUCGCGCCCGCCAGCUCUCCUGCCAUGGAUUGUGGCAGUAAUUUUAACACAACCCAGUCUCCUGAGCCCAAGAGAUAAGGAAGAAAGAACUAGUCUAGUGCAACUACCAGAGGGACGAGAGUUUAGAUAAAGACUCUUAUUAUGAAAUUGUGCAGCUCUCUUUGGACCCGGGAUCCGGCUUCUCCCACCUGCCCCCUCCUACACUUCUGCUGUUAGACUAGAUUUAGACACGAGGCUGUGCACCCAGAGAAGAAAGAGAACUUGGGAGUCUGGAUUCAGCCAAGGAGAGUCAGCAAGUAUCGCUGAAACACCUAUAAUGUGCCCAGACAUCAGCCUGGACUUCGCAGAAAGACCUCAGCCGAGAUGGAAAUCCCCAGAGCAGCAUAAGAACGGACCCAGCCUCCCAAGGCUCUUGUCAUGGAUCAGGGUAAGCAAGGGAUUGUCUUUCGGAAGAUUAAUUUUGCAACAAGGCGCAGAACGGAUUGAAGUGUACAAAGCCUGGAGGCAGGGAAAUUGUAAGAACUCUACAGCAGUACUCAAAGCAUCAGGAGAAGAAUGCAGCUUCUGCAGUUCGUAGGGAAAAUGGAAUGGGAAAGACAAGAGCAAGAGACAUUUCGCGUUGUUCAAUAACUGGAUAAGAGGCCUAAAGGAAAUGAGGGAAUGAAAGAUGACCUCACGACGGCAGAUCCAGGUGGCUAACUGGUGGCUCUGAAUGAACAGACACAAAAAGUUGGGAAUAGAGAGUGAUUUGAAAGGUCAGAUUUGUUUAGCUGUAAUAUGCAUUACAUAUUACAUUGAGUUUGAGUUGAUAGUGCAGCAUCCACACAAAACUGCUGAUCUAAAAUACCAGAGGGAGAACUCAUAAAUGUGGCCAGGACUGCAAAAGUAGAAUUGUGGGUCAUCCGUGAAGAACCAUUAGCCAUAAAGGUUAGGAAG